UACGUAGGGUGCGAGCGUUGUCCGGAAUUAUUGGGCGUAAAGAGCGUGUAGGCGGCCAGGUAGGUCCGUUGUGAAAACUGGAGGCUUAACCUCCAGCGGUCGAUGGAAACCAUCUGGCUAGAGUCCGGAAGAGGAGAGUGGAAUUCCUGGUGUAGCGGUGAAAUGCGCAGAUAUCAGGAAGAACACCCGUGGCGAAGGCGGCUCUCUGGGACGGUACUGACGCUGAGACGCGAAAGCGUGGGGAGCGAACAGG
rnacentral:rRNA from 1 species